CGCAACAAAAAAACGCUGCAAAUACCAAAACGAUAUGCAAAGUCCAAAUUACGUACAAAUCCCAAAACACAUUUUUUUUAAAAAACAUUCCGGAAGUGCUCCAGGCCUCUAGGGGGCGCGCUAGGUGGAACAGAUUGAUGUCUGACCACCAGACAUAGAGAGAACGAACAAGAGUGAUGGAAAUCGGGAGGAAAGAAAGUUAAUUUAAGUGGAGAAAGAUAUAAGAAGGCUGCCAUGUUGUGUCCUUUCUGUGGCCAACAUCUGGGGACAGUUCAAGUGUUCUGUGGCUCCUGUGGCAACAUGUACAGUUUGUGGCAGAAGUUGAACACAACACAUCUGACAGCCCCACAGAAGAGGACCUCAUUCGGAAACACUUUCACGAUGGCUUCAGCUACGAUGACAUUUGGGAUUUUCUGGAAACUACCCACAAUGUAAAAAUGAGUUUGUGUACUUUAAAGAGUAAAUUAAAAAGUCUUUCAUUAUCAAGGAAAAAAAACUACUCCCCUCUGGCUAAUGUUCGUGCUGCCAUUCAAGAGGAGUUAAAUGGAUCUGGCCAGCAUUACGGUUACCACUCGAUGUGUCAGACAUUGCGGCAAAAGCACUCCCUUACUGUAAAAAGGGAUGAGGUCAUGAACUUGAUGAGAGAGCUUGACCCCUCUGGAGUUCAACUUCGCAGUAAUAGACGAUUUGUACGAAGAACAUACAGCUCUGAAGGACCCAACCACGUCUGGCAUGUUGAUGGCUAUGAUAAGCUAAAGCCCUAUGGUUUGGCCAUCAGCGGAUGUAUUGAUGGCUACUCCAGAAAAGUAUUGUGGUUGAAGUGUGGAGCAACAAACAAUGACCCUGGGGUCAUUGCUCAAAAUUACAUACGUUGUGUCACAGAGCAUGGAGUCAUACCUAUGAGGCUGCGUACAGACUGCGGCACUGAAAACGGCACAAUGGCAGCCAUCCCGUGUGCUUUAAGAUCAAGACACACUGACCAUUUUGCUGGGGCUGCCAGUCACAUGUAUGGCUCUUCAACAGCAAAUCAAAGAAUUGAAAGCUGGUGGUCGUACUUCAGAAAACAGAGGUCUCAAUUUUGGAUGGAUCUCAUGAAUGACCUGAGAGAAAAACAUCACUUCAGUGGCAGUCAUGUGCACACAUGCCUAGUGCGGUUUGUCUUCAUGGGUGUGCUACAGAGGGACCUUGACGAAUGCAGGGAAAAGUGGAACACGCAUAUCAUCAGACCUGUAAACCAGUCUCGUUGUCGAUAAGGGAAACCAGAUGUCAUGUACAACCUGCCACACAGGUACGGUGGAACUGACUGUGGGUUCCCAGUCCCACAAGACGACUUGGGCCAGUUUGUUCUGGACUCGACCAACAGUCCAUGUGGAGACGACCACUUCCAGGAACACUUUGAGAACCUUCAAAGAACGAGUGGUCUAAUGCAACCCUUGACCUGGGAGUCUUGUGUUGCGAACUAUAUAACUAUGAAGAACAUGGCUAAUUUGUAAAUUGUAAGCCCAGCUUUCAAUAAAGUCCAAAACCAGGCGAA